GGCUUUAUAUUCAAAAUGAUUAGGGAUUGCAAAUCUUUAGGUACCUUUAGGGUUAAGGCUU
rnacentral:tRNA from 1 species